rfam:Ricinus communis cultivar Hale ctg_1100012361693, whole genome shotgun sequence.
CCUCCAUGAUGUGGACUUUGAUGUUGUAAGUCCUUGAACCGCUCACAUGCUUCAUACAAAGAUUCACCAUGGUGUUGAGCGAAGCUUUUGAUCUCUUGUUUAAAUUU